AGUGAACGCUGGCGGUAGGCCUAACACAUGCAAGUCGAACGGCAGCACAGUAAGAGCUUGCUCUUACGGGUGGCGAGUGGCGGACGGGUGAGGAAUACAUCGGAAUCUACUUUUUCGUGGGGGAUAACGUAGGGAAACUUACGCUAAUACCGCAUACGACCUACGGGUGAAAGCAGGGGAUCUUCGGACCUUGCGCGAUUGAAUGAGCCGAUGUCGGAUUAGCUAGUUGGCGGGAUAAAGGCCCACCAAGGCGACGAUCCGUAGCUGGUCUGAGAGGAUGAUCAGCCACAGUGGAAGUGAGACACGGGCCAGACUCCUACGGGAAGCAGCAGUGGGGAAUAUUGGACAAUGGGCGCAAGCCUGAUCCAGCCAUAGCGCGUGGGUGAAGAAGGCCUUCGGGUUGUAAAGCCCUUUUGUUGGGAAAGAAAAGCAGCAGGUUAAUACCCCGCUGUUCUGACGGUACCCAAAGAAUAAGCACCGGCUAACUUCGUG
rnacentral:rRNA from 1 species